rnacentral:sRNA from 1 species
CCCGGCGUGGACGUGAGCCGGCCUCAGCUGGUGCUGCCGCGGCUGGCGCUGCCUGUGGGGCACUACUGCUUUGUGUUUGUCGUGUCAUUUGGGGACACGCCACUGGCACGGAGCAUCCAGGCCAACGUGACGGUGGCCCCCGAGCGCCUGGUGCCCAUCAUUGAGGGUGGCUCGUACCGCGUGUGGUCGGACACACAGGACCUGGUGCUGGAUGGGAGCGAGUCCUACGACCCCAACCUGGAGGACGGCGACCAGACGCCGCUCAGUUUCCACUGGGCCUGUGUGGCUUCGACACAGAGGGAGGCUGGCGGGUGUGCGCUGAACUUUGGGCCCCGCGGGAGCAGCAUGGUCUCCAUUCCACGGGAGCGGCUGGUGGCCGGCGUGGAGUACACCUUCAGCCUCACCGUGUGGAAGGCCGGCCGCAAGGAGGAGGCCACCAACCAGACGGUGGGUGCCGCCCACCCCUUGGCCACAUGCCUCGGACAGCCCAGCAUCCCCGCUCAUCUACUGUUUUCUGUAUUUUAGUGCUUGUGGAGGCCGUACGCUCUCCGCUUUCUGUUUUUGAUGCAAAUUCUAUUUAACACAACAGCCUGCUUCAGCUUUGCUUCCUUCCAAACCUGUCACAGUUCCAUAUACAGUCUUCAAGCCACAUAUGCUCUAGUGAUUGACAAAAGCUACACAGUC